rnacentral:rRNA from 1 species
ACGCUAGCUACAGGCUUAACACAUGCAAGUCGAGGGGAAACGGCAUUUAGUGCUUGCACCGAAUGGACGUCGACCGGCGCACGGGUGAGUAACGCGUAUCCAACCUUCCCAUAACUAAGGAAUAACCUGCCGAAAGGCAGACUAAUACCUUAUGUAAUCCUUUGAUGGCAUCAGAUAAGGAUAAAAGAUUUAUCGGUUAUGGAUGGGGAUGCGUCUGAUUAGCUUGUUGGCGGGGUAACGGCCCACCAAGGCAACGAUCAGUAGGGGUUCUGAGAGGAAGGUCCCCCACAUUGGAACUGAGACACGGUCCAAACUCCUACGGGAGGCAGCAGUGAGGAAUAUUGGUCAAUGGACGGAAGUCUGAACCAGCCAAGUAGCGUGCAGGAUGACGGCCCUAUGGGUUGUAAACUGCUUUUGUAUGGGGAUAAAGUCAAUCACGUGUGAUUGUUUGCAGGUACCAUACGAAUAAGGACCGGCUAAUUCCGUGCCAGCAGCCGCGGUAAUACGGAAGGUUCGGGCGUUAUCCGGAUUUAUUGGGUUUAAAGGGAGCGUAGGCCGGAGAUUAAGUGUGUUGUGAAAUGUAGACGCUCAACGUCUGACUUGCAGCGCAUACUGGUUUCCUUGAGUACGCACAACGUUGGCGGAAUUCGUCGUGUAGCGGUGAAAUGCUUAGAUAUGACGAAGAACUCCGAUUGCGAAGGCAGCUGACGGGAGCGCAACUGACGCUGAAGCUCGAAGGUGCGGGUAUCGAACAGGAUUAGAUACCCUGGUAGUCCGCACAGUAAACGAUGGAUGCCCGCUGUUGGUACCUAGUAUCAGCGGCUAAGCGAAAGCAUUAAGCAUCCCACCUGGGGAGUACGCCGGCAACGGUGAAACUCAAAGGAAUUGACGGGGGCCCGCACAAGCGGAGGAACAUGUGGUUUAAUUC